rnacentral:rRNA from 1 species
CCUACGGGAGGCAGCAGUGGGGAAUAUUGCGCAAUGGGCGAAAGCCUGACGCAGCGACGCCGCGUGAGGGAUGAAGGUCUUCGGAUCGUAAACCUCUGUCAGCAGGGAAGAACAGUCACUGUGCUAAUCAGCAGUGAAUUGACGGUACCUGCAAGGUACGCACCGGCUAACUCCGUGCCAGCAGCCGCGGUGAUACGGAGGGUGCGAGCGUUAAUCGGAAUUACUGGGCGUAAAGGGCUCGUAGGCGGUAUGUCAAGUCAAGGGUGAAAUCCCCGCGCUCAACGUGGGAACUGCCUUUGAUACUGGUAAACUGGAGUGUGGGAGAGGAUAGUGGAAUGUAAGGUGUAGGAGUGAAAUCCGUAGAUAUCUGGAGGAACACCAGUGGCGAAGGCGACUAUCUGGCACACAACUGACGUUGAGGAGCGAAAGCGUGGGUAGCAAACAGGAUUAGAUACCCCUGUAGUC